UACGUAGGGGGCGAGCGUUGUCCGGAUUUAUUGGGCGUAAAGAGCGUGUAGGCGGCCAGGUAGGUCUGCUGUGAAAACUCGAGGCUCAACCUCGAGACGUCGGCGGAAACCAUCUGGCUAGAGUCCGGAAGAGGAGAGUGGAGUUCCUGGUGUAGCGGUGAAAUGCGCAGAUAUCAGGAGGAACACCCGUGGCGAAAGCGGCUCUCUGGGACGGUACUGACGCUGAGACGCGAAAGCGUGGGGAGCAAACAGG
rnacentral:rRNA from 1 species